rnacentral:tRNA from 3 species
GGGCGGUUAGCUCAGUUGGUAGAGCAUCUCGCUUACACCGAGAAUGUCAGCGGUUCGAGCCCGUUACCGCCCACCA